GGUCUUGCAGGAGUGUGAGAAUAAGAGUGCAAGAAGCGAGUAACAUGUAUCAAAACAGACCCUGUGAAAGGCAGCAUCUUAAACGCUCCUAGAACACACCCGUGCUGUGGCGGGCACUGAUGGCGUCUCCGUUUACCGAGCUGGAGGUGCUGACGAUCAUGUUCUCCCUGCUGGUUUUUGCCCUCUUCACACUUAAUGGGAUGCUCAAUGAGAGACACACAGACUCCAAUGAGACAAAGAGCCAACCACAGACAAAGACACUGAUCGUCUGACUGCAAACACAACGCGAGAAAAACCUUUUUGGACCUCAGCAGACUGUCUUCUGACAUGUUGAUGGUGCCUUAUUAUGGGUUUGUGUGUGUCAGCUGAAGAGCAGCGCAGCAU